CGGCAUAGAAGUGCUAUGAUACUGCCACCUAUCCCACUAUACGCAUGGAACAAUAAUAUCUGCUAUGAGUGGGUGCCUAUCACCACGCAGUGCGUCCUCAAUCUGCAAAUAGAGGAACGGUCUCUGGAGAAAAGGUUAGCUGCAAAUAAAUUGAAUAAGCAACCGUGGACAGCCGAUAGGCCUAGUCGUGAGUGUGAUGAGCUCACACUGGCUAACGUACUAGAAAAAAUACGCAAGCACCACCACUCGUACACUCUCUAUAUAUCUCCACUACAAAACACCACAAACUGGGCCAAAAAUCGCGGCCCUAUAAGGUAGUUGGCCAAAUUCUCGAUAACGUAAGAAGAUGAUCGACUUAUUACGCAUUUAAUGAUUAAUGUUUUCAAAAUAAGUAACAAAUAAUGUUUGUAGUAUUUUAUUAGGGUCUUUCUAAAUAAAAUUAAAAAAAAAAUGAAUGAAAACGAUCUAAUAUUUAAUUAGUAAAUGGAAUUUGAAAAAAAUAUCGCGAUGUAGCAAUUGUCGAUAGUGAUGUUAAGGUUGGGAGCAAUUGUCGAUAGCUGUCAGACCCAAUUGUCGAUAGUCGAAAAUCAUUAAUGUUGAGCAUUAUUUGUUAAGUGACGAAGUUCCUGGAUAAAUUAUUUAGAAACAUUAUAUAAAAAUUACACAAAGCCAGUAAAAAGAAGAUGCAGAAACUUCGACGCUUAACUAAGCCUCGAAGGAAUGUACCAGAAACCAAAACAAACUUCUCCUCCCUCGGCUGAAGCGCGCGUGCACAGCCGACGCUGCAGUUUUGCCGUUGACCAUAGUAUUAGGCCCAUAAGGCCUAAUGAGUAAGACAAAGAGCGCGGCUAGGCUGAAGUAAGAAGAGAGGAGAAGUAAGUACCCCGCGUGGGAGAAAGCUUCGACUCUCUCUCAAGCAUCACCUCCCCCGAAACGCCACUCCAGGGUGUGCGCUCCUAGAGAAAGGACGCUAAUUUUAAGAGUUUCGAUUUUGAGUAAUUUGCCUUUGAGAAAUUCAAUAAGUUUUGUUUCAUUUGAGUGUCUGAUUUAAUUUGUGUUUUGAUAAGUUGAUAAUAAACAUCACUGCAAUCCAUGUGUUGAGUUUUGGAAAAUAAGUCAUUCAGAAUAUAAUCAAUUUUGAGCCAUCCUCCGUUUUGCUAAAACAUUUUGCCAAAAAGGAGAUCUAAACCCCGCAAUCUUUUCCGAGCAGUCAUCUCAGUUUUUCUGAGCAUCCUUUCGGGUUAAAUUAUUUCUCAAAUUCCAGAAAUCCACAGAAAAAAAUAUGGACCAAGUUUUGAAAAAUAUCGUCACCUCAAUCGUCUUCGACGAAGUUUUGGACCAUGUCACAAUCUGUUUUGACCCCGCGGGAAAACUCCCUAUGGUGAUGAAGCUAUUGAACAGUUAUGGACCAAACAACACCGUCACGUUUGAAAUUAUUCCAAGAGGACCACACCAUGACUCAGCGAGAUUAACUAUAAUACAUACUUACCGAAAUGGGCUUAUAAUCGAAGACAACGGACGACAAAACCAGCGACGACACAGGAAAAUGCACAGGAACGACAGAGAACCGAAGGACCACAGGAACCCGCACAGAGACAAAGACGAUAGACGUUGGACCCCGCCAACAACACAAAACUGUAUGUUCUCGCACCACCUGAUACGACACAACAGGAAUUCAGAGCGGACUUCAUAAAAUACGGAGAAGUAAUACAGAUAGAGUUAACGAACGGAAAAAAGGAGAAUAAUGAAAAAGUAGGAUACGUUAUUUACAAGGACAAAAUAGACGCCAUCGACGCCAAACUAAACGGACCACGAAAAUACAAAAUUGACUGGAAGUUAACGCCACAGACUACUGAGACACUAUUACAUUUUACAUGCGGAGACCAAAUACCGAUACAGAGUUUUACAGACCACACACGCGACUGCAUCACAACUACACUACGACGACGGCUACAAGACAAAAAAAAGUAUAAUAAGUAAAAACAACCGCAGCACCAGCACAGCAACAGUUGAGACCGACAUCACAAACGCCAAAACCGAGUACCAGCAGACAAGCCGACGAGAGACAGAAUGCUGACACAGCAGGGGCAGCAACGCAGUCAACAAGAGCACCAGUCUCAGUACACAGAGCUUUAUACAUCGACUACAGCUCAUCAAGUGAUGAAGAGUUAAAUGAAGUAGAAAUAGCCAGAUCAAUACGACAGCGACAACUGACCAUAGACAAUAGACAACAUCAAAAUGAGAAAGCAGAUGAGGCAGAAGCAUCAGCGAAGCACGAGGACGAAGCAGCUAAUGAGUUACGACAUGAACUGGACAAAAUUGACUUCAAGAAGAUAUUAGACGUUAGUUUUUAAGUGACGACACCGUGACGCUAGUUUAAGUUAGAUUUAAGAAACCAAGAGUGCCAUAAAAGUUUUGUAGUCAAUAAAAGAUGCAUAACAUAAGUAUUAUUGAACCAAGUUACUACUAUUGUCAUCUAAAAUAUUGUUUUGUACUACCUUUCAUAAAAAAAAAAGAGAGAA